rnacentral:rRNA from 1 species
ACUCAGGUGUUGUUGGGUAGGGGAGCGUUCUGUAAGCCUGCGAAGGUGGCCUGUGAGGGUUGCUGGAGGUAUCAGAAGUGCGAAUGCUGACAUAAGUAACGAUAAAGCGGGUGAAAAGCCCGCUCGCCGGAAGACCAAGGGUUCCUGUCCAACGUUAAUCGGGGCAGGGUGAGUCGACCCCUAAGGCGAGGCCGAAAGGCGUAGUCGAUGGGAAACGGGUUAAUAUUCCCGUACUUGGUGUUACUGCGAAGGGGGGACGGAGAAGGCUAUGUUGGCCGGGCGACGGUUGUCCCGGUUUAAGCGUGUAGGUGUGUGUUCCAGGUAAAUCCGGUUCACUUUAACACUGAGGCGUGAUGACGAGGCACUACGGUGCUGAAGCAACAAAUGCCCUGCUUCCAGGAAAAGCCUCUAAGCAUCAGGUAACAUCAAAUCGUACCCCAAACCGACACAGGUGGUCAGGUAGAGAAUACCAAGGCGCUUGAGAGAACUCGGGUGAAGGAACUAGGCAAAAUGGUGCCGUAACU